AUCUCACUUUCUGGUCACAGUGGUUAGUUUAGGGACCAAAGCUGGUCCAAUCAAAGUGAAUCCUAAGGUGCUUAUGGGGCCCAUUGGGAGGAGAAGCGUCUCUGCUGGAGUGGCUGCAUGGACGUGUGAGGGCUAGAGUUGUGAAGCCUUGAUGCCACCAUGAGGAACAGAGAAGAAACCAAAGUAGGGAAAGGCAGAAGCAAGAACUGGAGAAACAUGCUUCCUGGUGACGUCACUUAAGUCCCUGGACUUUGCUACACCUGAUCACUUAAGUUUCCAGUCACAUUUUUCUUUUCAUUUCUAAGCCGAUGAGUGAAAACUUCCUUAUGGACCAGACCAGCAAGUAGACUCACCUUUGGGAGCCACCAUCUUGAUCCACCUUGCAGUGUCAGCACCUCGGAGAGCGGCGUACCUCACAUGCAACCCUGUAAUGCUUGUGUGGUAAAGAAGCAAACUAGAUUUUCAUCCUCUGUUCCUUCUGGCCCAGAGUGACCCCUCUGUGGAUGACUGCUGAGUGAGAGCCUGUAUGACUGCCAGAGCUGCCCAAGCUGUAAAGGAAGCACUCCAUGAUUAACAACCCCAACACUGCGUGGGAAUGGACACAACUGGCGAAUGUGAAAAGGGAAGAGGCCAUGUGAGGGCAGAGUGGGAAGGCCACCAUAUACAGAUCUGGAUGAGAGUCUUCGCCAGAAAUCUACCCAGAUGGCACCAUGGUCUUGGACUUCUAGCUUCCUUAACUUUUUUGCAGUAAUUUCUCAGGGUAGCCUGCUGAGUUUCUAGACAGAUGACCUCGUCCUGUGUGCCUCAUCCACUUCACUUGCAUUUGAGAAGGCCUUUGCAGGUCACGAAGCACUGUUCUGAUGGGAGGAUUUAGUGGAGACGAUAUAUGUACUACUGAAGUGGGGAUCAUGUGAUUUCCCCCCCACAGCAAAGCUGACGUUAUUAAUUCACUCUGGGACCCAGUGUGUUUGUCACAACUCCUUUGAUGGCAAGUGAUAUAAUAACAACCCAAACCAGCUAAAACCAGAAAAGGAAUUAAUAAAUUAUUAACUCAGAAGUUUCCAUCUUCAGGUGGUGUCUCAAUCUGUGGCAAAGAAGGCCCCAAGGCUCCAGGGCUGCACACCUUUACUGCUGGUGGGAAUUCAGUGUGAUUGUGGGAGGACAUGAUGCCUGGCACCACAGCAGCCUCUUCUUAACCUGAGGAAUCAUACCUGAAGAUGGUCGAGUGGAGCAAUGCAAAGAACCAGAUGCCAAGAAUCUGGGCUUCCAACAGCAUCACCCUGCACCUGGGACCUCUUUCUAGUUGGCAAGAUAAUGUGUUCUCAUUGUUGAAGCCACUUUUAAGAAGGAUGGAUUCUUAACUACUGGACCAUCAGGGAAGUCCCUGAGAAGGUACUCUUUACUUGCAACUGAAAGCAUCCUACCUGAUAAGAAUGGUUGAACUGAUUUCUUCAGUCAGAGAGGUAGGAAUUGGCUCCUGGCACCACCACAGUUAUUGUGCAUCCUCUUUAAAGCUGCUUCCUCCUCUAUGAGAUGCAGCACACAGGCUGCAGGACCUUGAAAGGCAGGAACCAAAUUCAGCUCUCCUCUUAUGUCUGCAAAAGUAUCAGCCCAGUUUGGAGACACGCUAUAGCUUGGCACCACAGAUGCUAACUGAAUCAAGAGGCUGCAUAGAACAGCAAGGAACAGCCUGGGCUAAGGAAACCAGUCUCUUCUCUACACAGGGGGGAGCCCAUUAAAAAUCUGAGUUGGAUGGUGCAGCACACCCACGGGAAACCUUCUGAAUCUUCACCAGCGCUGGGCCCUAAUGACACCUGUCUGGCUUCAUCUCCACGCUCACUCCAUCCCAGCCUCGUGUCCUCUCCACCCAGGGUGGUGCUUGCCACCCUGUUUGGGUGGCUCUUCCUCGUCUUGGACAGGUGAGGUCAUCCCUCCCUGCACUCAGGUCUUUGUUUAAACUCACACCUCUCUGACCUUCUCCAAGUACACAUGACUGCUGACUUCAAGUCACACAUGCACUUAUGGGUCGUCUGUCUCCCCAGCUAGAAUGUGAGCUCCACGGGAGCAGCAAAUAUGUUCACCGUAGGACCCCCAGCACCCUGAACAGUGCCUGGCACUUGUCCUUAAACCAACUCAGCUUCCAUGAAGGUUUUAUGCUGUAGGAUAUCUAAGAGUUCGGAAGGCUCCACAUCACAGCAGGUAUUGACCUGAGAUAGGAUUUCCUGGCAGGACUGAAUCCCACAGGGGCCUUGAUAAUCACCAGUCUCUGUUCUGCCUCUGUGGAUUUGCCUCUUCUGGAUAUUCCAUAUAAAUGGAAUCGUACAAAACUCCUUUAUCUCCUGGUUCCUGCCUUACCUCUUCAGAACUGUGCCUCAGAGCUAUCUGAGAGCUUGGGUCCUUAGUGUCUGCUGAAUAAAACAUAAUUCUCAACUUU